rnacentral:tRNA from 1 species
AAUUGAUAUAGACCCAAGUCAUUUAGUGAAAUGAGGAAGACGACGCGUUUGAAAUGGUC